rnacentral:misc_RNA from 1 species
GAUGAAGAACGUAGCGAAAUGCGAUAAGUAGUGUGAAUUGCAGAAUUCAGUGAAUCAUCGAAUCUUUGAACGCACAUUGCGCCCUCUGGUAUUCCGGAGGGCAUGCCUGUUCGAGCGUCAUUAAAACUACUCAAGCUAAGGUUUUUUUUACCUUCUGCUUGGUCUUGGGUUUGAGGACUCAAAAUCCUCUCUCCGAAAUCCAGUGGCGAAUUGUUUGAGCUGUAGACGUAGUAAAUCAUUCUACCCGUUGCAAGCGAGAAUAAUAUUCAGCCAUAACCCCCAUACUUUUCUAGUUUGACCUCGGAUCAGGUAGGGAUACCCGCUGAACUUAAGCAUAUCAAUAAGCGGAGGA